rnacentral:pre_miRNA from 1 species
UUGAAUGUGAAUUGAUUUAUGUUUGGAUACACACACUUAGAAGUGAUUCUUAAGAGUUAUGUUGUUUAGAUAG